GAUUGAACGCUGGCGGCAGGCCUAACACAUGCAAGUCGAACGGUAACAGGAAGCAGCUUGCUGCUUUGCUGACGAGUGGCGGACGGGUGAGUAAUGUCUGGGAAACUGCCUGAUGGAGGGGGAUAACUACUGGAAACGGUGGCUAAUACCGCAUAACGUCGCAAGACCAAAGAGGGGGACCUUCGGGCCUCUUGCCAUCAGAUGUGCCCAGAUGGGAUUAGCUUGUUGGUGAGGUAACGGCUCACCAAGGCGACGAUCCCUAGCUGGUCUGAGAGGAUGACCAGCCACACUGGAACUGAGACACGGUCCAGACUCCUACGGGAGGCAGCAGUGGGGAAUAUUGCACAAUGGGCGCAAGCCUGAUGCAGCCAUGCCGCGUGUAUGAAGAAGGCCUUCGGGUUGUAAAGUACUUUCAGCGGGGAGGAAGGUGUUGUGGUUAAUAACCGCAGCAAUUGACGUUACCCGCAGAAGAAGCACCGGCUAACUCCGUGCCAGCAGCCGCGGUAAUACGGAGGGUGCAAGCGUUAAUCGGAAUUACUGGGCGUAAAGCGCACGCAGGCGGUCUGUCAAGUCGGAUGUGAAAUCCCCGGGCUCAACCUGGGAACUGCAUUCGAAACUGGCAGGCUUGAGUCUUGUAGAGGGGGGUAGAAUUCCAGGUGUAGCGGUGAAAUGCGUAGAGAUCUGGAGGAAUACCGGUGGCGAAGGCGGCCCCCUGGACAAAGACUGACGCUCAGGUGCGAAAGCGUGGGGAGCAAACAGGAUUAGAUACCCUGGUAGUCCACGCCGUAAACGAUGUCUACUUGGAGGUUGUGCCCUUGAGGCGUGGCUUCCGGAGCUAACGCGUUAAGUAGACCGCCUGGGGAGUACGGCCGCAAGGUUAAAACUCAAAUGAAUUGACGGGGGCCCGCACAAGCGGUGGAGCAUGUGGUUUAAUUCGAUGCAACGCGAAGAACCUUACCUGGUCUUGACAUCCACAGAAGAAUCCAGAGAUGGAUUUGUGCCUUCGGGAACUGUGAGACAGGUGCUGCAUGGCUGUCGUCAGCUCGUGUUGUGAAAUGUUGGGUUAAGUCCCGCAACGAGCGCAACCCUUAUCCUUUGUUGCCAGCGGUUAGGCCGGGAACUCAAAGGAGACUGCCAGUGAUAAACUGGAGGAAGGUGGGGAUGACGUCAAGUCAUCAUGGCCCUUACGACCAGGGCUACACACGUGCUACAAUGGCGCAUACAAAGAGAAGCGACCUCGCGAGAGCAAGCGGACCUCAUAAAGUGCGUCGUAGUCCGGAUUGGAGUCUGCAACUCGACUCCAUGAAGUCGGAAUCGCUAGUAAUCGUGGAUCAGAAUGCCACGGUGAAUACGUUCCCGGGCCUUGUACACACCGCCCGUCACACCAUGGGAGUGGGUUGCAAAAGAAGUAGGUAGCUUAACCUUCGGGAGGGCGCUUACCACUUUGUGAUUCAUGACUGGGGUGAAGUCGUAACAAGGUAACCGUAGGGGAACCUGCGGUUGGAUCACCUCCUUACCUUAAAGAA
rnacentral:rRNA from 1 species